UUGGGGAAUUUUCCGCAAUGGGCGAAAGCCUGACGGAGCAACGCCGCGUGAGGGAUGAAGGCCUCUGGGCUGUAAACCUCUUUUCUCAAGGAAGAAGAUCUGKCGGUACUUGAGGAAUAAGCCACGGCUAAUUCCGUGCCAGCAGCCGCGGUAAUACGGGAGUGGCAAGCGUUAUCCGGAAUUAUUGGGCGUAAAGCGUCCGCAGGCGGCCUCGAAAGUCUGUCGUUAAAGCGUGGAGCUUAACUCCAUUUAAGCGGUGGAAACUACGAGGCUAGAGUGUGGUAGGGGCAGAGGGAAUUCCCGGUGUAGCGGUGAAAUGCGUAGAUAUCGGGAAGAACAC
rnacentral:rRNA from 1 species